rnacentral:lncRNA from 1 species
AUCCAGAAACGGGUAUGCUUUCCCAGGCUGCCCAUAUCCUCCUUAAAAUGGGGAUUGAAGACAAUGUAGAGAAGUGGGUUGAGACAGGAAGGAAGUGGGACGAUCACGAGAAGUAUAAAUUUAAUGACGUCAGGACUGAUAAAGGUGAGGUUUAGCAAAGAGGAGAAGGAUAAGAAAGCCACGGGGCAGUAAAGGAUGCAGUUGGCGAAGAGCAACAGAGCAAUGUGCUUCACCAUCGAACAAUCCCAAAGAUUCUCCAGCUCUCCUUUCUCCAAACUGCAGUAGAGCUUUGUGUAGGCAAUGGUCAUUAUGAGGAAACAGAGAGAGUUGAGCAACACGAGAGCCACCAUGUAGCCCGUGGUGCUGGGCUCCCCAAAGGGCAAGGGCAGGCAGAGGGGAGAGGCAUUGUACUUACUGCCUCCUAGCAAGGGGAUUGUGGCAAUGGUCAGGGCCAACAGGACACAUAGCAAAACGAUCGCUCUCAGGCUAAAAAGGGGAGCUUUCACUUCAAACUUCGAAGAGCACUUGACAGAAAAACCUCGUUCCAGCGCUGCCAGAGUGAGCAGGAAGAUCGACGAUUCGGAAGCAAAAAUGGACAGGAAGCCAACGAUUUGGCAGCCGAUUCCGUCUUCCCACCACGCACCGUGCUGAGCAAAACGGCCAAAAGUGAAUGCAUCCACGGCAGCCAGCACAGCACUGGAGACCCCCAUGAGAAUGUCCACUACCGCGAUUACCCCAAUUAGCAGCUUUAUGGAAGAGAUGUACAGAGGAGUUCUGAACACGGUCAAAGCCACCAAGGCAUUGCAGGAAAGCGCCAGUACUGCCGUGGUCCACACCCCGAUUCGGAUCAGCCAGCUACCAAAUAGGUGCUCACAGGGCUUGAAGGGACCUGAGCAGGGAAGGAAGAGAGAGAGGUUGUAUCAGAUUGGACUGGCAGAUGUAGCAAACUUGCCAAGAGACGGAGGGUGAGAAAUACAGGAGAAUAUUUGAAAAAUGGGAUAAGAGUCUUUAAAAAAAAAGUUUGGAAAUGUUGAUGGAGUGAUCGUCUUUGAGCACUGUGUAUGCUAAGGAGGCCUCAAGACAUGGCCGUGCCUCCAAGGCAAGCUCUGGACUCCCCCACAGCCCUGAGAUGGCUGGGAACCUGGCCCAGAGGAGGCAGAGGAGGAACCAUGACCUCCUGGAGACCUGCAGGGAAAGAGCUUUCUCCUCGUUUCCGAGGCCUGUUGAGAUACUGUCUGCCAUUUUACCCCUACAUGGAAGUUGCCUGUUUAUACAACAUCAUUGCCUUACUGAUACGCACAGCACUUGGAGAUUAGGGAGUGGAUUCUAUUAUUAUGGAGAUGCCUGGAAGAGAGCAUUACCCGCAGUCAGGAACAGCCUUGAAGGCAGAUGGGACAGAGAAAAUUUAGGAACAACAUUUUGGUGGUUUAAACCCAAAGACAUAUAAAG